CCUACGGGAGGCAGCAGUGGGGAAUAUUGGACAAUGGGGGCAACCCUGAUCCAGCCAUGCCGCGUGUGUGAAGAAGGCCCUCGGGUUGUAAAGCACUUUCAGUGAGGAAGAACGCCUGGUGGUUAAUACCCAUCAGGAAAGACAUCACUCACAGAAGAAGCACCGGCUAACUCCGUGCCAGCAGCCGCGGUAAUACGGAGGGUGCGAGCGUUAAUCGGAAUUACUGGGCGUAAAGCGCGCGUAGGUGGCUUGAUAAGCCGGUUGUGAAAGCCCAGGGCUCAACCUGGGAACGGCAUCCGGGGCUGGGAAGCGAGGGGGGAGGAGAGGAAGGUAAACACCCCGGUGGAGCAGUGCAUUGCGUAGGGACCGGGAGGAAUAGCAGGGGCGAAGGGGGCCUUCUGAUGUGACAGUGACACUGAGGUGCCUGGGCCUGAGUAGCACACGGGGCGAGAUAGCCUAGGGGUC
rnacentral:rRNA from 1 species